rnacentral:rRNA from 1 species
AUUGAACGCUGGCGGCAGGCCUAACACAUGCAAGUCGAGCGAGCGGCGGACGGGUGAGUACUUCCUGGGAAUUGCCCAGUCGAGGGGGAUAACAGUUGGAAACGACUGCUAAUACCGCCUACGAUUGGAUUGCCCAGGUGGGAUUAGCUAGUUGGUGAGGUAAUGGCUCACCAAGGCGACGAUCCCUAGCUGGUCUGAGAGGAGGAUCAGCCACACUGGAACUGAGACAGGGUCCAGACUCCUACGUGAGGCAGCAGUGGGGAAUAUUGCGCAAUGGGGGAAACCCGGAUGCAGCCAUGCCGCGUGUAUGAAGAAGGCCUUCGGGUUGUAAAGCACUUUCGGCGAGGAGGCGUUACUCGCAGAAGAAGCACCGGCUAACUCCGUGCAAGCAGCCGCGGUAAUUC